UGAGCAUCUGGGAUUUCUUACCGAGCCUUU
rnacentral:piRNA from 1 species